UAUAAAAUAUAAAAUUCGUUGACGAAAAUUAUAAAUUUGUUCAAAAGUGUGCAAUAACACUGGCAGCUGACAACAUUUCGCCGCUGUUACCACCUCGUCGAUAACUCGUUUAUGCAUAUCGCUCUUCCAGUCGGGUGCUAUGGCUGUGCGGUUUGUAAGAUGGCGGGCAACAAGAUACUAUUGUGAACAGUCAACGGCCGCAAAAUUCACAAUGACGCAAGAAAACGGGAAUGGAAUGAAAAAAGGAUUUACCAAUUUGGCCUCCAUAUGGAAUUUUCCUCCUCUUACGAUCGAUUAGCCUUCAAAGUAUCUUUUGCAACCACGACAAAUAUAUACAUAGAUAUGGGUAUAUAUGUGCAUAUACGAGUAUGUAUGUAUGUAUACAAUAUAUAUACAAGGCGAGCCCAUGAAUUUUCACCAAUAAGAGGCU